rnacentral:rRNA from 1 species
UACGAAGGGUGCAAGCGUUGUUCGGAAUCAUUGGGCGUAAGCGCGCGCAGGCGGAUCAGCAAGUCAGAUGUGAAAUCUCGAAGCUCAACUUCGAAACUGCGUCUGAAACUGCUAGUCUAGAAUGUCGGAGGGGGCAGGGGAAUUUCACGUGUAGGGGUAAAAUCCGUAGAGAUGUGAAGGAACACCGGGGGCGAAGGCGCCUGCCUGGACGACUAUUGACGCUGAGGCGCGAAAGCGUGGGGAGCAAACAGG